UAUGUGGUCCGACAACGAAAUUCCCAUUCCGAAACGCUUUCGUCUGUACCUUCCUUUCGUUCAUAUGCAGAAGAGAGAUGAGGUGAAAGAGUGGUCUUACAAUAAGGUUCCCAC
rnacentral:ribozyme from 1 species